rnacentral:rRNA from 1 species
GCCAGACUCCUACGGGAGGCAGCAGUGGGGAAUAUUGCACAAUGGGGGAAACCCUGAUGCAGCAACGCCGCGUGAGUGAAGAAGUAUUUCGGUAUGUAAAGCUCUAUCAGCAGGGAAGAAGAAGGACGGUACCUGACUAAGAAGCCCCGGCUAACUACGUGCCGGCAGCCGCGGUAAUACGUAGGGGGCGAGCGUUAUCCGGAUUUACUGGGUGUAAAGGGAGCGUAGACGGUUAAUCAAGUCUGAAGUGAAGGCCCGCGGCUCAACUGCGGAACGGCUUUGGAAACUGAGUAACUGGAGUGCUGGAGGGGCAGGCGGAAUUCCUGGUGUAGCGGUGAAAUGCGUAGAUAUCAGGAGGAACACCGGUGGCGAAGGCGGCCUGCUGGACAGUAACUGACGUUGAGGCUCGAAAGCGUGGGGAGCAAACAGGAUUAGAUACCCGCGUA